GAUGAACGCUAGCUACAGGCUUAACACAUGCAAGUCGAGGGGAAACGACAUCGAAAGCUUGCUUUUGAUGGGCGUCGACCGGCGCACGGGUGAGUAACGCGUAUCCAACCUGCCCAUCACUUGGGAAUAACCUUGCGAAAGUAAGACUAAUACCCAAUGAUAUCCCACGAAGGCAUCGGAAUGGGAUUAAAGAUUUAUCGGUGAUGGAUGGGGAUGCGUCUGAUUAGCUUGUUGGCGGGGUAACGGCCCACCAAGGCAACGAUCAGUAGGGGUUCUGAGAGGAAGGUCCCCCACAUUGGAACUGAGACACGGUCCAAACCCCUACGGGAGGCAGCAGUGAGGAAUAUUGGUCAAUGGGCGAGAGCCUGAACCAGCCAAGUAGCGUGCAGGAAGACGGCCCUAUGGGUUGUAAACUGCUUUUAUAAGGGAAUAAAGUGGGUCACGUGUGACUUUUUGCAUGUACCUUAUGAAUAAGGACCGGCUAAUUCCGUG
rnacentral:rRNA from 1 species